AGAAUGAAAGGAGAGGGGAGGAACUCCAACUCACUGAUAUCUAAGCCUAAAUCUAAGGUGAGAGAACAGCACAUUCACUACCAGAGCGACCGUUGCGUCAUCAAUGAUGAGAAGAACUGUGUGGUCUGCAAGAAACGCAUAGGAAACAGCGCCUUUGCCCGCUACCCCAAUGGAGUCAUUGUGCAUUACUACUGCUGUAAAGACCCCAAAGUCUGCCCUGUGGAA